GGGAGGGAGAGAGAGAGAUAGAGAGAGAGAGACAUUAGAGAAACAUUAACAGAAAUACAGUUUUUUAGAGUAACCUGAAUAAGCUCAGAUGUAUGACAAUUUAAUUAAGGGACACUGGAUAGUACAGGAAGGAGGAAUAGACUCAGUAAAGGAAAAAUUUGACAGUAUGAAACACAAUAAUGUAUCUUUCUGCCUUCAGUUGAUGACAUGAUUGACACUGCUUUCAUAGCUGAACAGAAAAUACCUAGUUAAGGUCAGCAGCUGGUUAGCUUUGCUUACGAUAAAGACUGGAAAAAGGGGUGAAACAUUUAACAUGGCUUCCUAAUGAACUCAUAUUUAACACAAAGUGUGAAAAGUUGUGGUUUUAUGGGGGUUAUGUCCCUAACAAUCCCAUGGCUAGCACAAUACUGCUGUAUAAAUUCAAAUGGCCCCUUCCUGAGCCCCUAUCCAUUUUUCUUCUUUCCUCCAAUUUAAGUUGAGUAAGCUGAAUGGACCUCUGUCAUUUUUCUAGUUUCCUGUUGAACUUAAAUUACUUACAAACUUGCUGUGUGCUAUCUUAAUCCAAGAUCAAAAGAAAAGCAAAAAGAUCCCUAAGCUUAAGACAGGUCCCGCUGUAACUGCUCCUUGUUAACCUGACUGUGUGGAAGGUGCUUUUUCUGAAAUCAGAAGAGUAGAUUAGGCUGUGCAGAAGGCCAAGAACACAGAUAACAUCAACGCCAUCACCAAAGACACCUUCUUUGUUGAAAGCUUUGAAAGGCCACCAGUGUCAGGCUUCUCUGGCUGCGGCUGGAACUCCCCUGCAGUCAGUGCCAAGGAGAUGGCUGAUUCUGGUGUGCUGCCACUGGACAACAAAGCCUCUGAGGAGGUAGAAGGGCUUUCUGCAGCUUCCUGGGUGUUUGAGUCGUCCUCGGGAAUUACUGUGACAGUCAUCCUCCUCUCCCAUGUGUGUUUCCACCCAUAUUGCUUUGUGGAGCUGGACAGGAGAAUCACCUCUGAGCACUUCCUCUUCCUCGGGUUUCAAUGCUGUAGCUACAGUGUCCCAGGAGAAUAUCCGAGCCCUCCUCCUCG